rnacentral:lncRNA from 1 species
GGAUCUGAAUGAGGAAACUCUUUAGAUUGUGCUUAAAUGCCACGUGAGAUUUUGCUUUACCUUACAGGCUUUUUGCUCUCUGCUGGGCUCUUGCUCCGGUGGGCACUUACCAUCCUGUAUGCUGUGCAGGCAGUGGGGCUUAGAGCACAGUAGCACGAGCACCGUCAUUGUACAGGUUAUCGUCCGAUGCUUUGAGCCUUUCGUUAACAAAGUGCAGCUUUUUAAACGUUAAUCACUGACAGGAGUCAUCGCAUGAAAAGAAAGGGGUUAUUUUAUAAGCACGGAUCAUUACAUGCUAAUCUCAGCAUGAUGAUGUUUCCUGCAAUGAGGAAAUUGUGUGACUGAGGUCGGUGUGGCGUUGGUGUCGGUAUCGCUUCCUUGAGGUGCGUGGCACACCCAGGGCUGGGACCGAACCCCUGCCGCUGCAUAGCCCUGGGCUGUGGCUACAGGAAGCAUUCGGCCAUACAGAAGCCUAUUUGGUGCCAGGAGCUGGGGGUGAGCAGCGGUGGAGGAAGCUCCAGUGUUGCCCUAGAGCUAUGAGAUGAGCUUCUCUUCUUUGGGGGAACAGUUAAUGGGAGGUCCGGCUCUGCGCACGUCCCCUGGAGCACAGAACAUCUCAUGGAGCAUCUGAAUUGACUCCAUGUAACCACGGCCUUUCCUGCGUUAGGAAGUUUUGCUGCCCAUAGCAUGAAGGGGGAUGGCGUGGUGCACACAGACACCACAUCACCAGUGCUGCUCUGGAGCAGGGUGUGCAUCCCUGGCGUGGCAUGGAUGACAGAGCUCAAACCCAGUGCAGCCCUUAGGUUCCCCCAGUCCCGGGGUCUGAGAAGCUGAACUUAAUCCA